rnacentral:lncRNA from 1 species
CUCGGCGAGACCCCAGACCUGACAGACUCCCUGUGGGUCUCCCCCAAGUGCUGGUGACAAGGAGUCAGAUCAAACUGCGCAAAGUUCCACCGGGGGGCUGCCUUGGUAUCCCAACGCCAUAGGAAGCUGAGGCAGGAGGGUCUCCAGAUAGAGCUCAACUGGGCAGUGUAGCAGAACUAAGUCUCAGAAUGAAAACUACAGCCGGGCUGGGAUGUAGCUCAAUUCCUCAGCACAGCACGUGUACAAAAAGUUCGAUAAAAAAAAUCAAGGGAUUGCCAUAACCGCGACACUUUCGGUCGCGGGGGCAGAUUCACAGCAGUGCGCUGGGAGAAUCCAGAUUGUGACCGCAAAGGGUUCUGAGAUCCACGCAGGGAAUGCGGAGGGAAAAUAAACAACAAAGAUCAUAUCUGGGGCGACGGAAUUUCCAGGAAACAUGUGAGCGCCUGAAGAGACGGAGAACUCUGGUGGCACCAGCCUUCUGUCAUCCUGCCCACCAGCUCAAGCCAGGGCGUCAUGAGAGCAUCCCUCUCCCGGACCACGGGCGGGCCAUGACCCUCGCAGGAGGUGCAGCCCCCGGAGGCCACGGCUCAGCCCUUCUUUGCAGAUUCUCAACCAGCAUGCCGACCCAGCCGCACUACGGGGGAGAAGGGCGGGGGGACUGUCGCUGAGGAUGAAGGCCAUCUGCCCCGUCACCCAUCUUGCCAAGCCAUGACCAGGAGUCUGUCGCAAAGAGGAGAGACCACGUCUUGGAGGAAGGGAAUCACUCUAUGAAAACAGAGGCUAGAGACUUUGCACAUGCAAGAAGAGCAUUGUGGGAAAUCCGAGCAGCAAAUCUAGCGUUUUGGUUCCCUGGGAACUUGAACCGAUGCAUCAGGCACUUUCUCCAUCGCGUCCCACUUGAGACCCCUCCUCCCACCGAAAGGGACCCUGGACUGUUUAGCCCUCUGCUUGGUUAACAGCAGGAUGAAGACAGGCUCCUGGUGGAGGGGUACUAUUUCUCCACGGAUGUCCCACGCCAUGGUGCAGCCAGCAGCAGCCACACCUCGUGCUGUCCGUCCCCGCCCCGGUGAGCUUUUCUACGAUCUUCCUCCAUGCCACCAUCGUUCCGUUCUGCAGGUGUGAAUUCCGAUGCCUCGGUGUUGUCCCAUCAUUGCUUCUGCCUCCUCACGUGCAGAGAAGCUGUGAGGACAGAGCUGAGACAUUACAGCUAUUCCAGAAAUAAAAUAUUUUUGAAAUCGCUCUUUGUGUCCUUGUGUAAUCAUGAACCUUUGCAUGCAGC